rnacentral:rRNA from 1 species
GACGAACGCUGGCGGCGUGCUUAACACAUGCAAGUCGAACGGAGGAUUUAUUUCGGUAAAUCCUUAGUGGCGAACGGGUGAGUAACGCGUGGGCAACCUGCCCUUCAGAUGGGGACAACAUCCCGAAAGGGGUGCUAAUACCGAAUACGAUCGUUUUCCCGCAUGGGAUUACGAUGAAAGAUGGCCUCUGUUUACAAGCUAUCGCUGAAGGAUGGGCCUGCGUCUGAUUAGCUAGUUGGUGGGGUAACGGCCUACCAAGGCGAUGAUCAGUAGCCGGUCUGAGAGGAGGAACGGCCACAUUGGGACUGAGACACGGCCCAGACUCCUACGGGAGGCAGCAGUGGGGAAUAUUGGACAAUGGGGGCAACCCUGAUCCAGCAAUGCCGCGUGUGUGAAGAAGGCCUGCGGGUUGUAAAGCACUUUCAAUCGGGAAGAAAAGGGAAUGGUGAAUAGUCAUUCUCCUUGACGUUACUGAUACAGGAAGCACCGGCUAACUCCGUGCCAGCAGCCGCCGUAA